rnacentral:lncRNA from 1 species
UGAACAGAGAUAACAGGGUUCCCAUUAGAAACCAUGGCAUUUGGGAAAUUUAUUCAAAUCAGAAAGUCAAGUAGUCCAGCUGUAGGCAAUAGCUCCCCCAAUAAUUGUUUAAUUUUUGACUGUGAAUGUUAAGAUAGAAAGUAGCUAGUAUAUUUUGUAAAAAAAAAGCCUUGAUUUCCCAGCUGUCUGCCGCUAAAUGGUCCCUAAAGUCCCUGAGGGACACUCUGGUGAUGUGAGGGCGCCAGUGUUGCAGCCAAGAUCUGAAGAAUUAUCCCGACACGUCUGGACACUAUUCUUCAAGCCCGUCAGAAGCUAUUGCACUGUUCCCUAAAGUGCUUUGUCAGCCUCUGUAUACCGGAACAUCAUUGAUGAGGCCGUUUGGCGCCGUAACGCGUACUGCGCUUGGUCUAAAUGAAAUAAAUAAGGGGUAACACUGUCGUUUUUUAUUGGUCAACAUGGAAAAAACAUGAGGGGUAACACUGUUGUUUUUUAUUGGUCUUCAUGAAAAACAACAUAAGGGGUAACACUGUUGUCCUUGUCAAAUAAAAUAUAAGUCGUUAUUUAUUAGUCGUCAUGAAAUAAACAUAAGGGGUAAACCUGUCGAUAUUGAUCAAAUAAAACAUAGGGGGUAACACUGUCGUUUUUAUUUGGUCGUCAUGGAAAAAAACAUAAGGGGUAACACUGUUGUUUUUUAUCAGCCGUCAUGAAAUAAACAUAAGGGGUAAACCUGUCGAUAUUGAUCAAAUAAAACAUAGGGGGUAACACUGUUGUUUUUCUUUGGUCGUCAUGAAAAAAAACACAAGGGGUAACACUUGUCUUUGUCAAAUAAAAUAUAAGGGGUAACACUGUCGUUUUUUAUCAGUCGUCAAUGACGACUGAUAAAAAACGACAGUGUUACCCCUUAUAUUUGUCUUUGUCAAAUAAAAUAUA